rnacentral:snoRNA from 1 species
GUGCAUGUGAUGAAGCAAAUCAGUAUGAUGAUGUCAUGAUACUGUAAACGCUUUCUGAUGUG